rnacentral:rRNA from 1 species
CGCACAAGCAGUGGAGUAUGUGGUUUAAUUCGAAGCAACGCGAAGAACCUUACCAGGGCUUGACAUGCAGGCGGAUGGUUAAGAGAUUAGCCAGUCCUUCGGGACGCCUGUGCAGGUGGUGCAUGGUUGUCGUCAGCUCGUGUCGUGAGAUGUUGGGUUAAGUCCCGCAACGAGCGCAACCCCUGUAGUUAGUUGCCAGCAUUUAAGAUNNNCACUCUAGCGAGACUGCCGGUGACAAAUCGGAGGAAGGUGGGGACGACGUCAAAUCAUCAUGCCCCUUAUGUCCUGGGCUACACACGUACUACAAUGGCUAUAACAGCAGGAAGCGAAGGAGCAAUCCGGAGCAAAUCCUGAAAAAUAGUCUCAGUUCAGAUUGUGGGCUGCAACCCGCCCACAUGAAGUCGGAAUUGCUAGUAAUGGCAGGUCAGCAUACUGCCGUGAAUACGUUCCCGGGCCUUGUACACACCGCCCGUCACACCAUGAGAGUCUGCAACACCCGAAGUCAGUAGUCUAACCCGACAAAAAGGAGGGAGGGCGCUGCCGAAGGUGGGGCCGAUGAUUGGGGUGAAGUCGUAACAAGGUAACC